AAUGAGUAACAACACAUAAAAUUUUACGCGCGCGCUAACUGCUUUCCUAAGGGCCUGGGCAGCAGCAAUUUUUGGAUUCAACUCCGGCUCCACAGAUAUAUUCUUGGGGCAAAACGCGAACGAUUAAUUGGUCAUUCUUCAUUUCCCCAAUUUCACUCGUCGGGUGUCACAGAAUCCUCGGAAAGACUGUGGCGGCGGCGGCGGCAGCGGUGAGACGGCAGACGGUAGCGCGUAUUUUUGACGCUGAUCCGGCGGUUACUUUUUUGUUCACGGCUGCUCCAUUCCGGACUAGUCCUUUUUUACCAUUGAAGACUUGAAGUUUCGCGCGCGUCGAGACCAUUAUUUUUUUCCCGAACCGCGAACCAAUUCUCAACCGUUCUAGUUUCGGGACAGGUUUUGUCUGGUGAACUCGAUGUGACAGUUGAUUCCCCGCGCGACACGAAUUCAACUGGAGCCGUUUUUUGUUUGUUUGUAUGUUUGUUUGUCAAAGACCUCAACUGUUGAGCGGUUGUCCCCUCGUGGUGGGAAACGCAGAACGGGAGCAUCAAAAAACGGUAUCCAUCUCGAGCGUUGGAACGUGGAUCGGAACGAUGGAACAGUAAUAAUAGAAGAAAAACAGGAUAUCGAAAAAUACGCCAUGGGUGGCAGAAGAAGAUAGAAAGCAGUGAACCGCUGGGAAAUAGAAUCGCGAAUUUUACGGUGCAUCAUAACAAAAAGCUCCACGGAUCUUUGAAUUCCAUUGGUGUAGCAUCAGCUGGAAGAGCAGACGGUGGCGCGAAAAAUACCUUGCGUCGUUCGUGUUUAGAUGAUCAGUGGAAUGAAUGAAUGUGCUCUGAAGCGGUGAGACUGUGCAACUGUGAAUGCUGAUGCUAAAUAGAAGGAUUACUAGCGCGGAAGCAUUUGAUGCUGACCAAGUGAUAAUAAAUAGUGACCGAAAUUUGACUUUUUAGUUGACGUUGAUGCUGGCCUAAAAUUUCACAAACAGUGAAAAAGAUCAGAAGCGAAAAGUGCAGUGAUAGCGCAAAUCGGUGAGCAAUCACAUCAAGCUGGAGGGACGCAUCGUCGAGUAUUCCCGUCCCGGCGGGGGAUUGGACUAUCACAACUCACCGCUAAUCGGUGAAAUCGCCGCCGCAGGGGACUACACCCAAUUUCAUCGCUCGAUUGACCAGC